AACGUAGGACGCAAGCGUUAUCCGGAGUUACUGGGCGUAAAGGGCGUGUAGGUGGUUUCGUAAGUCUGGCGUGAAAUAUCUCGGCUUAACCGAGGCAGGUCGUCGGAUACUGCGGAACUAGAGGACGGUAGAGGCGUGUGGAAUUCCGGGUGUAGUGGUGAAAUGCGUAGAGAUCCGGAGGAACACCAGUGGCGAAGGCGACACGCUGGGCCGUACCUGACACUGAUGCGCGACAGCAUGGGGAGCAAACAGG
rnacentral:rRNA from 1 species